GAGUCUGAGAGAGAGGUAGACUCUGUCAGUGACUAACACAUAACCCCUGAGUCUGAGAGAGAGGUAGACGCUGUCAGUGACUAACACAUAACCCCUGAGUCUGAGAGAGAGGUAGACUCUGUCAGUGACUAACACAUAACCUCUGUGUCUGAGAGAGGUAAACUCUGUCAGUGACUAACGCAUAACCUCUGUGUCUGAGAGAGGUAGACGCUGUCAGUGACUAACGCAUAACCUCCGGGUCUGGGAGAGAGGUAGACUGUCAGUGACUAACGCAUAACCCCUGAGUCUGAGAGAGAGGUAGACGCUGUCAGUGACUAACGCAUAACCCC